rnacentral:rRNA from 1 species
GAUGAACGCUGGCGGCGUGCCUAAUACAUGCAAGUCGAGCGAAUGGAUUAAGAGCUUGCUCUUAUGAAGUUAGCGGCGGACGGGUGAGUAACACGUGGGUAACCUGCCCAUAAGACUGGGAUAACUCCGGGAAACCGGGGCUAAUACCGGAUAACAUUUUGAACCGCAUGGUUCGAAAUUGAAAGGCGGCUUCGGCUGUCACUUAUGGAUGGACCCGCGUCGCAUUAGCUAGUUGGUGAGGUAACGGCUCACCAAGGCAACGAUGCGUAGCCGACCUGAGAGGGUGAUCGGCCACACUGGGACUGAGACACGGCCCAGACUCCUACGGGAGGCAGCAGUAGGGAAUCUUCCGCGAUGGACGAAAGUCUGACGGAGCAACGCCGCGUGAGUGAUGAAGGCUUUCGGGUCGUAAAACUCUGUUGUUAGGGAAGAACAAGUGCUAGUUGAAUAAGCUGGCACCUUGACGGUACCUAACCAGAAAGCCACGGCUAACUACGUGCCAGCAGCCGCGGUAACAC